CUUUCUAGGCAUUUGCACUAAAAAAAUUGAAAUUUUUUUAUUGUAACUCAAAUAUUAGCCCCAUCUACAUUGAUCAUGACAUUUCUAUAUCCUUCCUCUGAAUAUUUGUUUGGUUGUAAAUUCUUUCAGGCCAUUAGAAAAUAUGGUAAGCUAUGCGACUUGGUUUUUUGGUCAUCGCGCGGUUACCCUGUGGUGUCACAAAUCAGCCAGUAAUCCAUCCGCGCAACUCUCAGCCCCCUCUCGGUCUUACGCUUUUAUGUGUUUUUAGUUCAAAGUUCGUAUGUUCACAGAAAAAAAGGCAGUAUGAAAAAAUAUGCGGAUUCAAAUGGACUGAAGUCUUUUAGGAACCGUCUUGUCUGAAGUACGAGUUGAUAGUAAAAUCUACCCGAGUGUUCGUGAAUCCCGCUCGUCGCUAACAGCUAAAAAGAGGACUAUAGAGGAGGACUAUAGAGGCUCUACACUACCAUUGUAUAUUCAUUCACGUCUAUAUUUAUGUAAAAAUCAUUCACUUGUGUCGACGAGUUCCUUGCUAGCAGAAAUUCGACAACUUCACAGUUUACAACAAAAGCGAACACAACCACAACAGAAAGCGAAAAAAACUGCCAAGGUAAAACCAACCAAGGACUACCCGAGGGCCAUGAUUGAUGCUGAAGGCUGGGAGGCAUGAGAAUAGGCAAAUGUCUUAAGAUAAUAUAGUAGGGGAUUUCUUACUUUUAUACAACAGUAAAUGUGAAAUAGGCUUUUUUAGAGCAAGAUACUUGCCCUCAAUGAUAAAUCUGAAAACAUUUUUUCUAUCAACCUAAAGAUAAUGAGGAAAGGGGAAAUGUUAGGAGAGUGCUCAACCAAGUUGUUGCAUUACUUAUGAUUUUUCUAUCAAAGAUAUAGUCCAAUUUCUUCCUUUUCUCUCUCUCACCAGUAUCAGUAUCACCAGUAAUAAGUGAUAGAUUAAUCUUCCAUAUGGCAUCUGAAGUGUAUCUAACUAUAUCAUUCUAUCUUUGGAAUGCUGUUGCAUCCAUCAUUUGUUUCUUUGCAAGGGCAAACCUGGUCAGAAUGUAGCUUUGAUACGAGUGUACAUUAAUGAAACUUCUAUCAAGGGAAGGGUUUAUUAUUAGAGCAAGGUCCGGGGGGGCUCUCCAGAAAGAUAGACGGGGGGUGCUCGACCUAUCUUUUACGGUAUAAAAUUCUUACCAACUGCUAUCUCUUAGGGUGUGUUUUAGGAUUUUUCUGAUUCUGCUAUCUUUUAAGGUGUCUCACGCUAAGUGGUGGCCCAAUCGGUUGAAAUGUAUUUUACAAUAAACCACAAGUCAACUGAUCGGUUAAUACUUUAGACUUUAAUGUCAGUAACAUAACAAUAUAGGAUCCGUCAGCAAAUUAAAACCAGCAUUGUUUUUUUAAUGCUAUCUCACAGGGUUGAAAAUUCCUCUGACCACACCCAAUGUGCUAUCUCUUAGAGGUAAGAGUUGUUGUUGACCACGCCCUUAGUGCUAUCCCUUAGGGUUAAAAUUGAUUAUGCUGUCGAGCACCCCUGUCUCUCAAACUCCCGUUUCUCAUAGUCCCCCCCCCCUCCCCCCUGGGAGCAAGGUACUCUAUAUAAAGACAACAUCAAGGUAAAUUAUAUAAAGACAAGAUCAAACUGUGCUUUUUCAAUAAUAAAUCUGUAAAAAAAAGUUUUAUUUCAAACCUAUAGGUAAAUAGAAAGGGGAGAAUGUUAGGAAUAUGCUUAUUUAAGCUAUUAUUGCAUUAUUGUUAUAUAUUUUUUAAAGUAGUCACGUUUUUUCAAA